UACGUAGGUGGCAAGCGUUGUCCGGAAUCAUUGGGCGUAAAGCGCGCGUAGGCGGCUUGCCAGGUCCGAUGUGAAAACCCGGGGCUCAACUCCGGGCCUGCAUCGGAAACCGGCUUGCUAGAGUCUGGGAGAGGAGAGUGGAAUUCCUGGUGUAGCGGUGAAAUGCGUAGAUAUCAGGAGGAACACCGGUAGCGAAGGCGGCUCUCUGGAACAGUACUGACGCUGAGGCGCGAAAGCUAGGGGAGCGAACAGGAUUAGAUACCCCGGUAGUCC
rnacentral:rRNA from 1 species